UCAAACAGCAGGGGCGAACAAGAGCUCCCCCACCAAACACUAACUCUCACAAAAUUCAUAAAUUGAAGGCUCAAAUCAAGUCAAAAUCGAAAUCUGAAUAUAGAUUAGUGAUCACCUCGACGAAGGGAUCGUAAGGUAAUGCUCGUUUGUCACGGAUGUCGAUCAAGAAAGGGAAGCAAGAACCAAACACAAAUUUUGGAUAAUUCUUCACUAAUCUAAACCAGUUAAACUAUGUUGUUUGUAAACACUACUGAUUGACGAAUGUUUUAAUCCAGUUAUCUAACUAUGUUAAACCCUAUGACGAAGUAUAACUUAGUUUACUAUCUAAGUUUUUGUUAAUUAUGAAUUUUGUUUUUUAAAAA